AUGGGCGCAGGGGCGGCGGGGCUGGACGUGGCCGCCAGCCGGAGGCGGGCGCUGGCGGCCAAGACCAGAGGGGGCAGGCCGCGGCAAGCGAGGAGGCGCGCGCAGCCGCAGCCGCAGCCGCCGACGGCGCUGCAGCGGCUCUUCCGGGCCUGCCGCGCCGUCUUCAAGGGCCCCGGCACCGUGCCCGCGCCACACGAGGUCGCCCUGCUCCGCGCCAUGCUCGACAGAAUGAGGCCAGAGGACGUCGGCCUGAGCCCAGCCAUGAGGUUCUUCCGGACUAGGGAUAAUGCGGCGGCCCAAGUGAACCCAACCAUCAGACACACCACCAUAUACAAAUCUGACAAUUUCUCGAUGGUCAUCUUGUUCCUGCCGCAAAACGCGGUCAUCCCUCUACACAACCACCCCGGGAUGACGGUGUUCAGCAAGCCGCUCAUCGGAUCGAUGCAUAUAAAGUCGUAUGACUGGGCUGAUCCCGAUGAUCCAGCCGCCUCAUCGCCCGACGAUCAACUGAGGUUGGCAGAGCUGGUUGUGGAUGAUCUCUUCACCGCGCCGUGCGACACGUCCGUCCUCUACCCGACGGCGGGAGGCAACAUGCACCGUUUCACGGCCAUCGCUCCAUGCGCCAUCCUCGACAUCCUUGGUCCCCCUUACUCCAUCGAAGAGGACCGAGAUUGCACCUACUACGCGGAUGUUCCCUACUCCUCCCAGCAUCCCGUGACCUGCAAUGAACAAGAAGGGCGACGCCUCGCGUGGCUGAAAGAGGUCGAGAUGCCGAGGGAUCUGAAGAUGUGCAGCGUCUGGUACGGCGGCCCGCCGAUCUCCGACAGGUGA
rnacentral:rRNA from 1 species